rnacentral:rRNA from 1 species
AUUGAACGCUGGCGGCAUGCUUUACACAUGCAAGUCGAACGGUAACAGGCCUUCGGGUGCUGACGAGUGGCGAACGGGUGAGUAAUGCAUCGGAACGUGCCCAAUCGUGGGGGAUAACGUAGCGAAAGUUACGCUAAUACCGCAUAAGCCCUGAGGGGGAAAGUGGGGGGACCNCAAAGGCCUCACGCGAAUGGAGCGGCCGAUGUCAGAUUAGCUAGUUGGUGGGGUAAAGCCCACAAGGCGACGAUCUGUAGCGGGUCUGAGAGGAUGAUCCGCCACACUGGGACUGAGACACGGCCCAGACUCCUACGGGAGGCAGCAGUGGGGAAUUUUGGACAAUGGGCGCAAGCCUGAUCCAGCCAUGCCGCGUGCGGGACGAAGGCCUU